rnacentral:rRNA from 1 species
GACUUAGGUAAAUCCGGGUUGCUAUUAAGACUGAGACACGAGACGAGUCACUAAGGUGAUGAAGUUGUUGAUGCCAUACUUCCAGGAAAAGCCUCUAAGCUUCAGAUUAUAUGGAAUCGUACCCCAAACCGACACAGGUGGUCAGGUAGAGAAUACUAAGGCGCUUGAGAGAACUCGGGUGAAGGAACUAGGCAAAAUCGUACCGUAACUUCGGGAGAAGGUACGCUCCUAUCUGUGAUGAGACUUGCUCUCUAAGCGGACGGGAGCCGCAGUGACCAGGUGGCUGGGACUGUUUAUUAAAAACACAGCACUGUGCAAAAUCGCAAGAUGACGUAUACGGUGUGACACCUGCCCGGUGCCGGAAGGUUAAUUGAUGGGGUUAUCCUUAGGGAGAAGCUCUUGAUCGAAGCCCCGGUAAACGGCGGCCGUAACUAUAACGGUCCUAAGGUAGCGAAAUUCCUUGUCGGGUAAGUUCCGACCUGCACGAAUGGUGUAACCAUGGCCACGCUGUCUCCACCCGAGACUCAGUGAAAUUGAAAUCGCAGUGAAGAUGCUGUGUACCCGCGGCUAGACGGAAAGACCCCGUGAACCUUUACUACAGCUUGGCACUGAACAUUGAACCUACAUGUGUAGGAUAGGUGGGAGACUUUGAAGCAGCGACGCUAGUUGUUGUGGAGUCAACCUUGAAAUACCACCCUUGUAGUUUUGAUGUUCUAACGUUGGCCCCUGAAUCGGGGUUACGGACAGUGCCUGGUGGGUAGUUUGACUGGGGCGGUCUCCUCCUAAAGAGUAACGGAGGAGCACGAAGGUUGGCUAAGUACGGUCGGACAUCGUACGGUUAGUGUAAUGGUAGAAGCCAGCUUAACUGCGAGACAGACACGUCGAGCAGGUACGAAAGUAGGUCAUAGUGAUCCGGUGGUUCUGAAUGGAAGGGCCAUCGCUCAACGGAUAAAAGGUACUCCGGGGAUAACAGGCUGAUACCGCCCAAGAGUUCAUAUCGACGGCGGUGUUUGGCACCUCGAUGUCGGCUCAUCACAUCCUGGGGCUGAAGUCGGUCCCAAGGGUAUGGCUGUUCGCCAUUUAAAGUGGUACGCGAGCUGGGUUUAGAACGUCGUGAGACAGUUCGGUCCCUAUCUGCCGUGGGCGUUUGAGAAUUGAGAGGGGUUGCUCCUAGUACGAGAGGACCGGAGUGAACGAACCGCUGGUGUUCGGGUUGUCAUGCCAAUGGCAUUGCCCGGUAGCUACGUUCGGAACUGAUAAGCGCUGAAAGCAUCUAAGCGCGAAGCAGGCCUCGAGAUGAGUUCUCACUAGACUUUUAAAGUCUCUGAAGGGCCGUUGAAGACUACAACGUUGAUAGGCAAGAUGUGGAAGUGGUGUGAGCCAUUAAGCUAACUUGUACUAAUUACCCGUGAGGCUUAACCAUACAACGCCAAACGCGUUU